rnacentral:rRNA from 1 species
GACGAACGCUGGCGGCGUGCUUAACACAUGCAAGUCGAGCGAUGAAGUUCCUUCGGGAAUGGAUUAGCGGCGGACGGGUGAGUAACACGUGGGUAACCUGCCUCAUAGAGGGGAAUAGCCUUUCGAAAGGAAGAUUAAUACCGCAUAAGAUUGUAGUAUCGCAUGAUACAGCAAUUAAAGGNGUAAUCCGCUAUGAGAUGGACCCGCGUCGCAUUAGCUAGUUGGUGAGGUAACGGCGUCACCAAGGCGACGAUGCGUAGCCGACCUGAGAGGGUGAUCGGCCACAUUGGGACUGAGACACGGCCCAGACUCCUACGGGAGGCAGCAGUGGGAAUAUUGGCACAAUGGGGGAAACCCUGAUGCAGCAACGCCGCGUGAGUGAUGACGGUCUUCGGAUUGUAAAACUCUGUCUUCAGGGACGAUAAUGAC